rnacentral:hammerhead_ribozyme from 1 species
AUUCAGAUGACGAGUCCCAAAAAGGACGAAACGCGCGUCCUGAAU